rnacentral:rRNA from 1 species
UACGUAGGGUGCAAGCGUUAAUCGGAAUUACUGGGCGUAAAGCGUGCGCAGGCGGUGAUGUAAGACAGGUGUGAAAUCCCCGGGCUUAACCUGGGAACUGCAUUUGUGACUGCAUCGCUGGAGUGCGGCAGAGGGGGAUGGAAUUCCGCGUGUAGCAGUGAAAUGCGUAAAUAUGCGGAGGAACACCGAUGGCGAAGGCAAUCCCCUGGGCCUGCACUGACGCUCAUGCACGAAAGCGUGGGGAGCAAACAGG